UACGAGAGGCCCAAACGUUAUUCGGAAUUACUGGGCUUAAAGAGUUCGUAGGCGGCAUUGCAAGUAGGGUGUGAAAGCCCUCGGCUCAACCGAGGAAUUGCGCUCUAAACUGCAGUGCUUGAGGAACCUAGAGGUGAGCAGAGCAGAUGGUGGAGCGGUGAAAUGCGUUGAUAUCAUCUGGAAUACCGGAGGCGAAGGCGGCUCACUGGGAGUUUUCUGACGCUGAGGAACGAAAGCCAGGGUAGCGAACGGG
rnacentral:rRNA from 1 species